GGUCUGGUGGUCUAGUGGUAUGAUUCUCGCUUAGGGUCCACCCUACAGCAAUGCAUGCGAGAGGUCCCGGGUUCAAUCCCCGGCCAGACCC